rnacentral:rRNA from 1 species
GACGAACGCUGGCGGCGUGCUUAACACAUGCAAGUCGAACGGAAAGGCCCUUCGGGGUACUCGAGUGGCGAACGGGUGAGUAACACGUGGGUGAUCUGCCCUGCACUUUGGGAUAAGCCUGGGAAACUGGGUCUAAUACCGAAUAGGACCACGCGCUUCAUGGUGUGUGGUGGCAAGCUUUUGCGGUGUGGGAUGGGCCCGCGGCCUAUCAGCUUGUUGGUGGGGUAAUGGCCUACCAAGGCGACGACGGGUAGCCGGCCUGAGAGGGUGACCGGCCACACUGGGACUGAGAUACGGCCCAGACUCCUACGGGAGGCAGCAGUGGAGAAUAUUGCACAAUGGGCGCAAGCCUGAUGCAGCGACGCCGCGUGGGGGAUGACGGCCUUCGGGUUGUAAACCUCUUUCAAUAGGGACGAAGCGCAAGUGACGGUACCUAUAGAAGAAGCACCGGCCAACUACGU